GAUGAACGCUGGCGGCGUGCCUAAUACAUGCAAGUCGAGCGAACGGACGAUAAGCUUGCUCCUCUGCUGUUAGCGGCGGACGGGUGAGUAACACGUGGAUAACCUACCUAUAUUACUGGGAUAACUUCGGGAAACCGGAGCUAAUACCGGCUGAUAUUUUGAACCGCUUGGUUCAAAAGUGAAAGACGGUCUUGCUGUCACUUAUAGCUGGAUCCGCGCUGCAUUAGCUAGUUGGUAAGGUAACGGCUAACCAAGGCAACGAUGCAUAGCCGACCUGAGAGGAUGAUCGGCCACACUGGAACUGAGACACGGUCCAGACUCCUACGGGAGGCAGCAGUAGGGAAUAUUGGGCAAUGGGCGAAAGCCUGACGGAGCAACGCCGCGUGAGUGAUGAAGGUCUUCGGAUCGUAAAACUCUGUUAUUGGGGAAGAACAGAUGUGUAAGUAACUGUGGACAUCUUGACGGUACCUAAACAGAAAGCCACGGCUAACUACGUG
rnacentral:rRNA from 1 species